rnacentral:rRNA from 1 species
GAUUAUGGCUCAGGAUGAACGCUGGCGGCGUGCCUAAUACAUGCAAGUCGAACGAGAGUGCUUGCACUCGAGUGGCGAACGGGUGAGUAACACGUAGGUAACCUGCCUUACAGUUUGGGAUACCCGAGGGAAACCUUGGCUAAUACCGAAUAAUUCUUUUUGGAGGCAUCUCCGAAAGCUAAAAGGGGGCCUUUAAAGCCUCGCUGAAUGAUGGACCUGCGGCGCAUUAGCUAGUUGGUGAGAUAAUAGCCCACCAAGGCGAGGAUGCGUAGCCGACCUAAGAGGGUGAACGGCCACACUGGAACUGAGACACGGUCCAGACUCCUACGGGAGGCAGCAGGUAGGGUAGUUUUCGGCAAGUCGGGGGAAACCCUGACCGAGCAACGCCGCGUGAAACGAUGAAGGUCUUCGGAUUGUAAAGUUCUGUUAUAAGGGAAGAAUGAUAACUUGAGGAAAUGCUAGUUAUUUGACGGUACCUUAUUAGAAAGCCACGGCUAACUACGUGCCAGCCGCCGC